rnacentral:lncRNA from 1 species
UGGGAUUGGGGCUGAAUGAGGUCCUUGUCGAUAGUAAGUGACCCUUUGAAACCAGAACAUUUUCAGAACUCGAUUUCACCAUCAAAAAGACGAUUUUUAGCACAAUUUUUAGACACAACAUGGUAAUUUCUCUGCCUGCUGAUACUUAAAAUCUCAAGUUUAUGCACAUGAUGGUAGACUGAUUAUCAGUCUCAGCCAAUUAUUGGUGUCCAUAUUUGGCAUUUUUCUGUAUCUACCUUUUAUUUUGAAAAUAAGUGAGUCCAAAAGUGUUGAUUAAACAUUUGCUCGAGACAAUUUAACAGUUUGUAAUAUUCCAAACUCUAAAUUUUGAUGGGAAGUUUUCCAUUUAUACCAUCAGUGGAUUUUAUAAAAAUAAAUUACGAGUCAAUUGAAAUUCCCUCACAUCUGUUUUUUGUCCCUAAUUGUAGCACUAAUCAUACCAAUUUAUGUCAGAGGGGUUAUACCUCGGGCAGGUUUAGUUUUCAGUAGUUAUUUGAUUGUUCAUUAAAUGGAUAUUCCGGCGUAAAAUUAAGUUAGGGUUAAACAUACAGGAACACCGAGUUAGACAGUCCCUCAAAUAUGAAUGUUGCUGACCGCUUGCUUCUCUAGUUAUACCAACUUUAGUAACGACCACACGAUAGCAAUACAGAGAGCCACGCGUUCAACCAAAACACCACUCUAUAGCCACAAAUAAUGCUCAGAACAGCACCUAACUUCAUCAACAGGACAUAUAGGGUCCUCGCCACAGCACUAGCCACCAAACAUCUAUUUAACUUUGACUAAUUUCUUUAGAAAAGAGACUAAACACAACUCACCUACUCUCUUCCGGCAGCCGCUUGUUUGUAGUGAGACCUCAGGCCAGUCCAUUAUGGACUACAGCAGGGUGCCGCAGCUCAAGGAAGAACAUUUAUGAUAAUAUCUUUGUAAUUUCCUUAAAGUAAUGAUCAUAAAUGUUCUUCCUUGAGCUGUGAAACUCCGCAGCUGGGAACUCCGUACAAACAAGCAGCUGCGUUUUGGUUGCGGUUUGUUUAUGGCUCCUCAGACCGCUGUGUAUUGCUAUCGUACGAUCAUUACUAAAGUUGGUUUAAUUAGAGAAGCAAGCGGUCGGCAACAUUCAUCUCUUGACGGCGUGUGUUUGACCCUAAAUUAAUUUUACACCAGAAUAUCCCUUUAAAGGUGUGUGAGGCCAUGAUUGACAGCUGUGCAGGCUCAGGCUUCAAAUGAACAAUGUGUUGUCGUGUUGGAUGGUUUGGCUUCACUUUUGCACGAGGCAUGUCGUCCAUCUUUACGGUCUGUAAUCUUUCCCAGCAACAAUAUUUUCUCUCUGUGGGUGAAUCUCGGCUCUGAUCACCAUUUUUCUCACUAUUUAUUAUUUCUAACCUCAUUUUAUCAGCUCUGAAGGCCACUGAGGGAGGAUUUUCCAUGGAAGUGUGUUUUAUUUCGAUCUUACGAGGUCUGUAACUCGACUCGAAAGCCCCGAAGAGAAUCUGACUCAACACAAAUAUUAUAACUGGACAGAACGUGUGAAACUCAGGCCAGUUCAAACCCUCCAUAAAGGACAAUCAUAUCUGCGUUUACCGAGUGAAUAGAACCGCUCUGUAAUUACAGAAUAUACCGAGAGUCCAAGUCUGUGAACAACAACUGAGCCUUUCAAGUCUAGACUCCAGCCGGGGCGAGAGCGGUGAUUAGAUAAUAUGUUUCGCAUUCAGAAGAGCAGCUCAGAGUAGCUUGUGCUGAUUCCUUACGUAAGCAAAUCAUUGAAGAGGAAGAAGAAGAGGAAGAAGAGGGGCGAAGAAGAGGUAAGUUAGGUUACUAGGGCGGCCCACCCAGAUCUAUUCUUCACUUCCUACUGGAGCUUUAAGGUUAGAUAUGUAAGAAACAGAUGUCACGAUCCCAAAAUCAGCCCCUGAUCUUGAACUUUCUUUAGAUUUAAAGCCUCCCUUCACUUCGAGUCGACUCUUCUGAUUAGGAUUCCAGAGGUACCGUGUGUUUUGACAGUAAUCUGUAUUUCAGAAGUCAGCGGUUCAGGAGCGCUCCUCCGUCCCCUGAUAGAUAGAAGGCACAUCUUACGUUUUCCAGAUGCUCGCUCGUUUUCCCAUCUUCCUCCCAGAAGCCUCUGCUGCGGCGGUCUCUUCCUCUGCCUCCUCUUUCACCCAGAUUCGCCUGAUUUAAACAUUUCCAGGUGAGAGGAAGCGGGAUUCAUUCGUAUGAUUCAAACAGCUCGCCCAGUUCUUCCCUCGUGUCUGCCGCGUCUCGUUGCGGCUAAUGGUUUGAAUUAACUCUGAAGAACCCGGGCCGCCUCUUCAGGGCGCACUCAAGACUGAGUGAUGUGGCCACUUAGAGAUCCUCUCCGGGCUAUUCAUAGUAUGAAUAACCAUCUGACACAUUGAAUAGGAUCCGUCAUGACUCCCCUUACAAUAUGAUUCACCGCCGUCCCUUUUAAAGAUGGUGGAGUUACAAAAGAGGGGUUAAAGUGAAGCAGCUCAGAAUAGACUUUGAACAUUUCCCGACUCUUAAGUCCUGGAAAAAAAGGUGGAGUUUUUGGCUGUACUUUUCAUCGAUUCGUAAACUCUUUGAUUACAGUAAGUACUCCGCGACUGAAGAAGUCUGAGGAUGAGAAAACUUGAAGCUAACUUUUACAGAAGUCAGUUUUAAUGUGGUAAAAGCAAAAUGUGAGUUUUGUGGUCGCCUUGAGACGGCGGUCAGGAACUUUUUCAGAGGAGAGGAGCAGGAGGAGAGAGGAGAGCAAGGAGAGGGAUCUUAAAUCCAAAGAGUGUUAAAGGGAUAUUCCGGCGUAAAAUCAAGAGAUGAAUGUUGCCGACCGCUUGCUUCUCUAGUUAUACCAACUUUAGUAAUGACCGCACUAGCAUAGCAAUACACAGUGGCAAUCGUGGAACAAGCGUGUGUGUUAGCGGAUUGCAAUGCUCAUAAGAAAGCUAAUUAUGAUAUUGACUUUCAUCGUGUCCGAGAGCUGAAUAGCUCCGAUGUUACCUGCUUCUGCUACGACAUCAGCAAUGUCAGCCUACAAGCUAACGUGAAGAGACGUGUGCAGAGCAGCGCUGUCUCCGCCAACGACUCAGAGGCGAAGUGCUAAUGAGCUACUGGAGCUCUGUACGAGAAAACACUGUUGCCAACUCCUCAGUAAGGAAAGUCGCUAGUGGCAACUAGCAACCAAAACUCCACUCUAUAGCCACAAAUAAUGCUCAGAACAGCACCUAACUUCAUCAACAGGACAUAUAGGGUCACAGCCAUAGUACUAGACACCAAGCAAAGAGACAAAACGCAACUCACCUACUCUCUUCCAGCAGCCUCCUGUUUGUAGCGGGACCUCAGGCCAGUCCAUUAUGGACUACAGCGGAGUUUCGCAGCUCAAGGAAGAACAUUCAUGAUCAUUUCUUCAUGAAAAUACAAUCAGACCGAGAUGUUAAGGCAGAAGAACUACAGCGACUGCAGAGCAAAAUGAUUAAUAUGAUGAUUAUUACUUCAAGGAAAUGAUAAAUAAAUGAUCAUAAAUGUUCUUCCUUGAACUGUGAAACUCCGCUACAGUCGAUGGACUCGCCCGCAGGUCUCCGUACAAACAAGCGGCUACUGGAAGAGAGUAGGGGAGUUGUGUUUUGUCUCUUUGCUUGGUGUCUAGUACUAUGUCUGUGACCCUAUAUGUCUUGUUGAUGAAGUUAGGUGCUGUUCUGAGCAUUAUUUGUGGCUAUAGAGUGGAGUUUUGGUGGAGCACGUUGUUCUCUGUAUUGCUAUCGUGCAGUCGUUACUAAAGUUGGUAUAACCAGGGAAGCAAGCGGUCUGCAACAUUCAUCUCUGGACGGAGUGUCUAACACUAACUUAGUUUUAUGCUGGAAUAUCCCUUUAACAUUUACUGGGCUAAAUCAUGACAUCAGUUAGUAUCAUAAUAAAAUCUAACCCUAAAUUCUUAACCUCAUAAUGAAGCAGGUUUGAAAAAACUGAAUAAGAAGUUCCAUUUGCAGCUUUUUAUGAAAUCAAAGGGUUUUAAAAACAGUCUGUGAUUUAGUUUAGUCAGUAUAAUUGAGGCAUUUGUCAGGGAAGAAAGAAAUGUCCUUUUAAUUUUCUUCAUUUUUUUGUUUUUGAAAGUGUGUAAAUGUUUAAAGACUUUUAAAAUUCUGUGAAUGAGUGAGAGAAGGAACAGAGCUCCUCACUUUAGGAAAACUCGUUUCUUUGUUCUGCACAGCGACGUUAACAGAGGAUUAAAGUGCUUUAUUAGCCUUAUCAGAGAAGAAAACACUCAUGUUUGAAGACAAAAUCAGCUUCAAACUACCUUUAAAAGUCUUUCUUUCGUUACUUUGACUAAUAUACGUUUCUUUCCUCCUCGUUUAUUUCUGCUGGCAGCUCUGCUCGACUUUUCAGGUCGUGACAGAAAGAGGAAACUUCUCCGAAUCAUCCCUGUCUGCAGAUAUAUAAACUCUAUUCACCGUGUUUCGCUGCGGGGCUCUUUGCCAGAUCGUGUUUUCCCCUGAAUUUAACAGAGCGAGACGUUUCCCUCCACCUGACGUCUGAGCGCGCCGCUUUAACUCCGUCCGUUUUGUGAUUCUGGGACGUGGUUUCUGCUGCUGAGAGAAAAGGUUUGAUUCUCUUCCUCCUGGAUAUUUUCACGCAGCCAGGCUUACUCAGCGAUUUCCAGGCCCCGUUUUGAUCGAUGAGGCUGCCUCACCAUGGCGACAGUUGCUAGGGGCAGCGUUUGGGUGUUUACAACCGGCUGCCGCAGGUGGUUUUAAUAGCGGGCUAUCGAUCCCAUGAUGUGUGUGUUUACACGUGUGUGUGUGUGUGUGUGCACGCCACACUCAAUAAUGUAAUUACAAUGAGGGAAGUUUAAUGCGACCACAUCUUCGGCGUGAUGCUUUUAUCGAUCCCUGUAGUAAACGGCGCUCCGUCUCCGGGAGGUGAGGUCCAAUAAAAAUAAUCCUCCGAACCAGAAACCAUGUAGCAGAGCGCCGGAUAACUCCGCUAAGCUGUCCCUCAUGCUCGUCAGGCGCCGGGAAAACAAACGCUGGAUGUCAUAUUGGCGAGGGAAGCGUUUCCCCCCCCUCUCUCUCGCUGAUGCUCAGCAGACAGCUUGGAUUUCACUCAACUUCCUGAGAGCGAGGAUGUGCUUCGCCACGGCAGCAGGGUUUCAUUUAGAAGAGCGGCGCAUAUUUGGCGCUGAAAACGGUCUUUUGUUUGACAUAAAUCCACCUCUCCGGUCUCACGCUGCACGUUUGAGGGGAUCCCCGAGACGUCGUUUGUGUGUGAAGCUGUCACUAAGAAUUACAGGAGAGGAGACAUGACAGAUGCCUCCAGGGCAAGACACACACACCAACACACACACACUCAUCCUUUGUGAUAUCUGCGUCCUCUGUAGUUAAAAGGACUGAAUUAACCUUUCUGUUAUGUUUGCGUUACUAGACUCGCUCUAACGGCCCGUGUGACGGCGUUAACCUCCUGAGGACGCUCGGUAUCAGAUUCAGUUUUAUUCGUGUCUCGGUCUGGACUGGAAGCUGCAAACUGGGACACCGAGACACAUCACGUCUCAGCUUUAAUGUGACCCGUCUCUCCUCCCCGCCAUCAUCCCACAGAUCAGACCUUCCUGUCCACUAACCCGCACCAGUAGACCCAGUUUACCCUCGAAAUGUGUGUGUGUGUGUGUGUGUGUGUGGUCACAUGGCUCUGCCGGAUGACUUGUUGCAAUCGUGCUGAGGCCGACACAUUUAAUUGUGAGAGACGGGUUUGCAGAGGGGCACCGGGAGGGUUCUCACAACACACACACACACACAUUCAGAAAUGUUGCGUUCAUUCUGCGGCUGACCUGUUUACUCUCCACAUGAACACAGAGCAGGAAACUGUUCAGAGCAGAAGCAGGAGAUCUUUAAUUUAACAUCUAUAUCAGUUUUUUUAUGAUCACUAAACAGCCACAGUGAAACCAGAGUGAUGUAGAAGACUGAAAACAGACUAAUAUGAGUUUAAAAGAUGUUAAAAACACAAUUAAAAUGAAUAAAAGCUCAUUUAAAAGGCCAGAAAUCAUCACAAGAUAGAGAUGUGUUUGAAGCCAUGAUGUCACAAUUUAAAGGCCCUCCUGAUUGGCGCGGGGGGGUAGUUAAACGCUUUUCUGGUCCGAAUUUGAUCAGUCAGUCUUCCUGUCGGCGUGAAGAGCAGUAGCCUAUAGUAUAUCUACAGUAUACAUAUAUCUUCAUAAAAAAUUAAUCGGUAAUGAGAUUUUUCACCCCCUUAUAAUCGGUAUCGGCCCCAAAAAAAUGCAUAUGGGUCGGGCCCUAGUUGUUUGUCAUUGACAAAUUAAUGUUUUCGGUAACCCUUUCUUUUACGGUUUACUUAUUACCAGGUAAUUACCUGGUAACAACAUGUAUUUAUCUGGUAAUUACAUUACAUUACUACUAAGUCAAUACUGUCUAGUUUUUUUUGUUUUUUUUUCUGUGCAGCUCCAUUUUCAAAAGCUAUUCGGGGUUCUUAUUUUCUAUGAUUGACAGCCUAUGGGUGUGCGAAGAUUGCGCAGCGAUAUGCUGUUUGAGCCGAUCAUUAUCACAGCGACUCACCCGCCGAAUACGUACAAUGCUACUGCGCAAGUGGUGGUUCCAGGAAGUGGAGAAAAUCCUGGAAAUAUCAGAGCAACUCGGCUUCAAAUUUGUAUGAUGAUGGAAGGUUACCUACCUGGUAGCUAGACAGUAUUGACUUAGUAGUUAUCAUGUAAUAACCAGAUAAAUACAUGUUAUUACUAGGUAAUUACCUGUUAAUUACCAAGUUUUCAUUUCUAUUGUAAUUACAUGAUCGUUCCUAAUAUCAGUUGUUCGUCUCAUGAAUUUCUGUUAAACAGUGGAUGCAUCGACUUUGAAAAACAAAUAUUGGCCACCCUGAUUUCUAGAUAAAGUGAGCGACCACCAACCUUUAACGACGCGACCCAAAUAGUUCAUUUUAAUCUAAGUUCUGCCUCUAUUAAUAUAAACAGCCAAUAGCACCUUGGGUGGCCGAUCAAAUUUCAAAGAGGCUGGGGCAGUGCCACCCCUGAACAACCGUUUGGACACACCCCUGUCAGUGAGUUCCAGUUCUGUCUCAAGGCCUCAAAGCUGGUUUUGAUGAGUGUUUUUUUGUUAAUGAGUCAAUAACAGAAAAUAAAACCCUGUUCUGCAGUUUUAAAUCAGCGAAAGGUUCAUGAAAAAUCAGAUUAUAGAGCCACACACCUGUCAGGAUGUAACUAGUUAUCUAACAAGAGGAAGUAAUCUCAUCUACACGACACAGAAUCCACCCAUGUGACAUUAUCAAACACCACAAAUGAAUUUCAAACACAGUGAAGUAUCAGAGCGGCGACAGCGUGGCUUCGGCUGCUUUAUUCCCAUGUUUUAUUCACCGUGUCUUAAAGCGGCUGUUUCAUAACACUAAAGACGUCCGCACACUCACAGACACACACUCACAGACGCACACUGGAGACCAUAAAGUGACGAAGAUCUCUUGCAGAACUUAAUCGCCCAAAUGUGAACCCUCUUCCUCUCUGAUCGCUUCAUUAUCCGAAAAAAUAGAUGAAAAUACUUCCAAAGAAACCAUGACAACAUUUCCAAAGAGCCGCCCCCCCUCAACCUCCUCAAAAAAAAGGCCAUAAAAAGCAAGUGUAAAAUCUCUCGUCUCCCCUCCUCU